CUUGUACUCCCUCCGUCCGAAAACACUUGUCAUUGAAAUGGAUGUAUCUAGAUGUAUUUUAGUUCCAGACACAUCCAUUUUGAUGACAAGUAAUUCUGGACAGAGGGAGUACUUG
rfam:Triticum aestivum genome assembly, contig: Triticum_aestivum_CS42_TGACv1_scaffold_131802_2BL